rnacentral:rRNA from 1 species
GGAAAGAUGAAAAGAACUUUGAAAAGAGAGUUAAAAAGUACGUGAAAUUGUUGAAAGGGAAACGUUUGAAGUUAGUGGGACUGGCACAAAUUCAGCCACGCACCAAGACAAUUAGCGCAAUUUGCGAGUCUAGUGCAGGGUGCACUUUUGUAUCAGCCGGUUAACAUCAAUUUUGACUGUCAUAAAAAGGCUAAAGGUGAUACAGUUCCUUCGGGACAGUUAUAACUUUUAGCGGAAUGUGGUGGUCGGGAUUGAGGAUUGCAACGAAUACCUUUAGGGCUGUGCUAACUUCGUCUAGCCACUCUCUUUGUUUUACAUAUAUAUGAGGCGUUCCGACAAUUAGGGUGGUUAGUCGGGUGGUGCAAAUUCAAUUCGUUAAGGAUGUUAACGAAAUGGCUUUAAACGACCCGUCUUGAAACACGGACCA